rnacentral:rRNA from 1 species
UACGGAGGGUGCGAGCGUUAAUCGGAAUUACUGGGCGUAAAGCGCACGCAGGCGGUUUGUUAAGCUAGAUGUGAAAGCCCCGGGCUCAACCUGGGAUGGUCAUUUAGAACUGGCAGACUAGAGUCUUGGAGAGGGGUGUGGAAUUCCAGGUGUAGCGGUGAAAUGCGUAGAUAUCUGGAGGAACAUCAGUGGCGAAGGCGACUCCCUGGCCAAAGACUGACGCUCAUGUGCGAAAGUGUGGGUAGCGAACAGG